GGGUUGUGAGGUUAAGCGACUAAGCGUACACGGUGGAUGCCCUGGCAGUCAGAGGCGAUGAAGGACGUGCUAAUCUGCGAUAAGCGUCGGUAAGGUGAUAUGAACCGUUAUAACCGGCGAUUUCCGAAUGGGGAAACCCAGUGUGUUUCGACACACUAUCAUUAACUGAAUCCAUAGGUUAAUGAGGCGAACCGGGGGAACUGAAACAUCUAAGUACCCCGAGGAAAAGAAAUCAACCGAGAUUCCCCCAGUAGCGGCGAGCGAACGGGGAGCAGCCCAGAGCCUGAAUCAGUGUGUGUGUUAGUGGAAGCGUCUGGAAAGGCGCGCGAUACAGGGUGACAGCCCCGUACACAAAAAUGCACAUGCUGUGAGCUCGAUGAGUAGGGCGGGACACGUGGUAUCCUGUCUGAAUAUGGGGGGACCAUCCUCCAAGGCUAAAUACUCCUGACUGACCGAUAGUGAACCAGUACCGUGAGGGAAAGGCGAAAAGAACCCCGGCGAGGGGAGUGAAAAAGAACCUGAAACCGUGUACGUACAAGCAGUGGGAGCACGCUUAGGCGUGUGACUGCGUACCUUUUGUAUAAUGGGUCAGCGACUUAUAUUCUGUAGCAAGGUUAACCGAAUAGGGGAGCCGAAGGGAAACCGAGUCUUAACUGGGCGUUAAGUUGCAGGGUAUAGACCCGAAACCCGGUGAUCUAGCCAUGGGCAGGUUGAAGGUUGGGUAACACUAACUGGAGGACCGAACCGACUAAUGUUGAAAAAUUAGCGGAUGACUUGUGGCUGGGGGUGAAAGGCCAAUCAAACCGGGAGAUAGCUGGUUCUCCCCGAAAGCUAUUUAGGUAGCGCCUCGUGAAUUCAUCUCCGGGGGUAGAGCACUGUUUCGGCAAGGGGGUCAUCCCGACUUACCAACCCGAUGCAAACUGCGAAUACCGGAGAAUGUUAUCACGGGAGACACACGGCGGGUGCUAACGUCCGUCGUGAAGAGGGAAACAACCCAGACCGCCAGCUAAGGUCCCAAAGUCAUGGUUAAGUGGGAAACGAUGUGGGAAGGCCCAGACAGCCAGGAUGUUGGCUUAGAAGCAGCCAUCAUUUAAAGAAAGCGUAAUAGCUCACUGGUCGAGUCGGCCUGCGCGGAAGAUGUAACGGGGCUAAACCAUGCACCGAAGCUGCGGCAGCGACGCUUAUGCGUUGUUGGGUAGGGGAGCGUUCUGUAAGCCUGUGAAGGUGUGCUGUGAGGCAUGCUGGAGGUAUCAGAAGUGCGAAUGCUGACAUAAGUAACGAUAAAGCGGGUGAAAAGCCCGCUCGCCGGAAGACCAAGGGUUCCUGUCCAACGUUAAUCGGGGCAGGGUGAGUCGACCCCUAAGGCGAGGCCGAAAGGCGUAGUCGAUGGGAAACAGGUUAAUAUUCCUGUACUUGGUGUUACUGCGAAGGGGGGACGGAGAAGGCUAUGUUGGCCGGGCGACGGUUGUCCCGGUUUAAGCGUGUAGGCUGGUUUUCCAGGCAAAUCCGGAAAAUCAAGGCUGAGGCGUGAUGACGAGGCACUACGGUGCUGAAGCAACAAAUGCCCUGCUUCCAGGAAAAGCCUCUAAGCAUCAGGUAACAUCAAAUCGUACCCCAAACCGACACAGGUGGUCAGGUAGAGAAUACCAAGGCGCUUGAGAGAACUCGGGUGAAGGAACUAGGCAAAAUGGUGCCGUAACUUCGGGAGAAGGCACGCUGAUAUGUAGGUGAAGUCCCUUGCGGAUGGAGCUGAAAUCAGUCGAAGAUACCAGCUGGCUGCAACUGUUUAUUAAAAACACAGCACUGUGCAAACACGAAAGUGGACGUAUACGGUGUGACGCCUGCCCGGUGCCGGAAGGUUAAUUGAUGGGGUUAGCGGUAACGCGAAGCUCUUGAUCGAAGCCCCGGUAAACGGCGGCCGUAACUAUAACGGUCCUAAGGUAGCGAAAUUCCUUGUCGGGUAAGUUCCGACCUGCACGAAUGGCGUAAUGAUGGCCAGGCUGUCUCCACCCGAGACUCAGUGAAAUUGAACUCGCUGUGAAGAUGCAGUGUACCCGCGGCAAGACGGAAAGACCCCGUGAACCUUUACUAUAGCUUGACACUGAACAUUGAGCCUUGAUGUGUAGGAUAGGUGGGAGGCUUUGAAGUGUGGACGCCAGUCUGCAUGGAGCCGACCUUGAAAUACCACCCUUUAAUGUUUGAUGUUCUAACGUUGACCCGUGAUCCGGGUUGCGGACAGUGUCUGGUGGGUAGUUUGACUGGGGCGGUCUCCUCCUAAAGAGUAACGGAGGAGCACGAAGGUUGGCUAAUCCUGGUCGGACAUCAGGAGGUUAGUGCAAUGGCAUAAGCCAGCUUGACUGCGAGCGUGACGGCGCGAGCAGGUGCGAAAGCAGGUCAUAGUGAUCCGGUGGUUCUGAAUGGAAGGGCCAUCGCUCAACGGAUAAAAGGUACUCCGGGGAUAACAGGCUGAUACCGCCCAAGAGUUCAUAUCGACGGCGGUGUUUGGCACCUCGAUGUCGGCUCAUCACAUCCUGGGGCUGAAGUAGGUCCCAAGGGUAUGGCUGUUCGCCAUUUAAAGUGGUACGCGAGCUGGGUUUAGAACGUCGUGAGACAGUUCGGUCCCUAUCUGCCGUGGGCGCUGGAGAACUGAGGGGGCUGCUCCUAGUACGAGAGGACCGGAGUGGACGCAUCACUGGUGUUCGGGUUGUCAUGCCAAUGGCACUGCCCGGUAGCUAAAUGCGGAAGAGAUAAGUGCUGAAAGCAUCUAAGCACGAAACUUGCCCCGAGAUGAGUUCUCCCUGACUCCUUGAGAGUCCUGAAGGAACGUUGAAGACGACGACGUUGAUAGGCCGGGUGUGUAAGCGCAGCGAUGCGUUGAGCUAACCGGUACUAAUGAACCGUGAGGCUUAACCUUACAACGCCGAAGCUGUU
rnacentral:rRNA from 1 species